rnacentral:lncRNA from 1 species
UAUAAUUUAAUUAGAGCUAGCAAUUUUGGCUAAUUCGUGCAAUUGGUGUAAUAUCUAUAGUUGAAAAUUUGAUACUAUUUGGAUUAUUAGGUGUGCUAAGUAUAUACAAAAUUUUGUAAUAAUCUAAUAGCAUGAUUUAGAGAUAUCUAGUUUUUAGCACAAGAGGGCUUCGGAAGUUGGCAGUUUGAGGUUGAAUAGGGUUUCUAUGAUAUUUGGAGAUCUAUCAGUUGGAUCAAGGUGAAAUUUGGCAUGGUAUUGAAGGACUUAAAGAUCAAGUUUCACACCAAUUUUGAAUCAAAUUUACUGGUUGAAAAGGAAGAAAUUACUACUUGGAUUUCUGUUUCACUUUUCAAGUUGGUGGC